UAGUUGCAGUUUAGACACCUCCCUAGAGUAAGGCUGCCAGUUUUGGUUGGCUGUAUUCCUGGAAGUUUCAUCAUAUGACAUGAUCUUUAAUUAAGAUUAAUCUUUAAUUCCUGGAGACUUCAGGACAAUCCUGGAGGGUUGGUAACCCUAGGAGAG